UUGCUGUUGGAUGAUGAUAAAAAUGAGUGAUCCAUCGACUGAAAACUACAGCUGAUGAGUUCAUACAAUCUGACAACAGCAU